UUCCCCAGAAGCUGGCUGGACAACUUGCACUUUCCAAGAGGGGUUUAUCCUGCACCAGAUCUCUCUCCCUGACCUGACCUGGUGGUCAAAAGCCUUGACAGUGGGACCGGCUUCUGAGGAAUAUAUAUAUAUAUGGUCAUUGUGGGGGUAUUACAGGACUGGCUGGAGCGGAUUGUGCCUGGAGUCACAGAAGAGAAACAAUUGGGUGAAAUUCACAAGAAAGGCUCAGCUGCAAUUUGGAAGAUUAUUCAGCUUUCAAAGGAAAUUUGCAGAGAAUGUUCCGAUGUAAGGAAGCCUCUGUUGGUUUCCUUGCGUGCCAUUUGAAGAGCGUGUUGGUGGAGAGGCAGCCUUCAAAGCAAGCGGGACGUCAACAUGUUUGAAGCCAGUUUUAUAUUUAGGCUGCCUCUUGCUGGCGUUCGAUCACAGAGCUGCGCCUGCACGGACCGACUGCCAAAGUAGCAACCCUGGAGGAGGCUUCCUUUUGCAGCACCAUCCGGACCUGCCAGAGCAUGCUUAGGCAGCCUUUUUUUGCUUCGUGUUUUUGAACUUUAAUCUUGAUUUCUGAACUUUUGAUUGACAGGCCGUUGUCAGUGGCACCCUAGAUCCAAACAUCACGUGACAUAAUUGAAGAUUAAAUCAGGACAAAUGGUGGGAAUGAGCUUGGCUCAUUCCUAUCAUUGCGAGACAGAGAAACUACGAAGUUCCUCUCCUUCCCUGACAAACGCUUGCAUCUCUUCCUUCUGCUUUGAUUGGUAUCUUUCCAUUUGCAAGAGCUCUUUUUGCACAAAGAAUACAAUGAAUGUGAGUUGUCCAAAACUACGAAAGCUGCUGCCUUGUUCGUGGACAUUUAGAAACUAGAGGCUUCA